GCUCAAGUGGUCUAACGGUUAUGAUGCGACCUUCCCACGAGGUUUCGAUUACAAGCUAAGGUCGCGAACGGGGUUCGACUCCCCGCUUGAGCA